CAGUACGGUAACAUUCAGCAGCCAGUGUGUCGUUUGUUAGAAAGAAACAAACACAUAGUUCAGAAUAAAAACAGUUGUUGACUGAAGGCAAUGUUUUUGUCUCACUGAUUGCUCUGUUUUGUUAAAUAUUACUUCUUUGAUUGAACGUGGAAUUUUUGGCAUGUUUGACAUGAAUUUAACGUCUACAGUGACACCCGUGCAUCUCAUUUAUCACGAGGUUUCCAGCUCUUUUAAGGAAAAGCAAGCAAAGUUAAGACCCCCCCCCCAAUUCAUAAAUAAUAAGAUUAGUCUGCAUAAUAAAAAUUUGGAUAAAUAAAAAACAUUCAGAUAAAAGAUGUAAUAAUAAAGUUGUUUUUUACAAAACAAUAAGAGGUAAAUUCUCUCCUCAAAAGAGAUACUGUAUAGUCCUGAAACAACCCGCCACUCAAAUGCCCUCUAACCUAUAAAACCACCUUGAGAAUUAACAUAAAACAUACAGUCUGAAUAUUUCAGUAUUCAGACUGAAAGAAUGCUUUUUGUAAAACAAAGAUGAGGUUGUAAUAGGUCUAAUGACUGAAUCCUGAGCUACACUGCUCACUGGUUUAGCAGCGACCCCUGCAUAACAUUCAUUCAGGACAAAUAAACCAAUGAGGAGUGAUGACACUGACACAGAAAGAGAAAACACAGUGUAAGACUAAUCAACCCAUAUACAGCUGGUAAAAUAAGUUCUGAACGUGUCGCCAAUUUUUGAAGUAAAUCUAUUUCUAAAGGUGCUAUCGGCAUGAAAUCCUCACCAGAUGUCAGUAACAACCCAUCCAAUCCACACAUGCAAAUAAAUCAAACCACAGAUGAUAAUAAAUCAAGUUAAUAAUAAAUUAAGUGUAAUAAUGAGAAAUGACACAGGGAAAAAGUAGACGCAAAAGGCAAAAGUCAUGACAUCAGCUGAAAUCAGUCAUUAGUAAUUUGCCACUUAGUGCAAAUGAAUAUCAGCUGGUUCAGUUCUAACUGAUGGCCUAUAAAAUGUGUCUCAUUACCAAGCUGUCAUACAAGAAACAUCUCAUGAUGGGUAAAACCAAUGAGAUCUGUCAAGACCUUCACAUGCUUGUUGUUGCUAAACAUACUGAUGGGAUUGUUACAGAAGAAUUUUUAAACUACUGACGGUUCCAGUGAGCACUGUUGGGGCCAUAAUCGUGAAGUGGAAAGGACAUAAUUUCACCACAAACCAGUCACAACCAGUGGCUCUUUGCAAGACUCCAGACAGAGGAGCGAAAAGGAUGAUCAGAAGAGUUCUCCAAGAUCUGCAAGAAGACCUGAAAUCAGCAGUAUUAAGUCAGAACUGGGGGUGAAAUGCAAAACACUACAGGAUGCACUUUCAGCCUGUCUAAUGUAGACAACACACCAGACAUUAAAUCGGGGAGAAGUGCAGCGGUUCGUAGAGGUGCUGCACAGACCCAAGACACCGAAACCUGCCGUUGACCAUGAUGGCCAUCCUGGUGCAAAGUG